ensembl:lncRNA
AAUUAACCUCACUAAACUAAAUUGGUCUUCAUGAACAUUGCUUUAUUCCCUCUAUCCUUCAUCCUACAGCCAUAGCUUCCAGAUAACCCUAACGGAAUACUCAGGUUUGCAUUGUAUCCCACAGCUGGAUUUAGUGAGUUAAGAAGCAGAAGGCUUAUAUACAAUUUAGAAUGUGGCUGUAAACCUUUGCUGAAUGUCUGGUCCUCAGUCACCUGAGAAGUAUUACAUCUUUAAAUAGCUUUCCUGUGUUCCAAUUUUCCUGUGUGUUACAAGAAUCGAGUACUUCACUUAAAGACAAGAACAGAAAAAUACUACAGAAACUGACCGUACCAAUGAUUCUUCCACCCAUACUGUGUGUCACUUCAUUAAAAUGUACUAUCUUAGGACUUAAUCUCUAUCCUCCAAAUACUGCAUUACAAUCAUAAGGUGUCC